rnacentral:rRNA from 1 species
UGGGGAAUAUUGGACAAUGGGCGAAAGCCUGAUCCAGCCAUGCCGCGUGUGUGAAGAAGGUCUUCGGAUUGUAAAGCACUUUAAGUUGGGAGGAAGGGCAUUAACCCAAUACGUUAGUGUUUUGACGUUACCGACAGAAUAAGCACCGGCUAACUCUGUGCCAGCAGCCGCGGUAAUACAGAGGGUGCAAGCGUUAAUCGGAAUUACUGGGCGUAAAGCGCGCGUAGGUGGUUUGUUAAGUUGGAUGUGAAAUCCCCGGGCUCAACCUGGGAACUGCAUUCAAAACUGACUGACUAGAGUAUGGUAGAGGGUGGUGGAAUUUCCUGUGUAGCGGUGAAAUGCGUAGAUAUAGGAAGGAACACCAGUGGCGAAGGCGACCACCUGGACUAAUACUGACACUGAGGUGCGAAAGCGUGGGGAGCAAACA